UAGAUGAGAAAGAUGCAGAAUUCGUCGACAAACAUUCUUUGCAUAGAAUUUCGAAGAACAAAAAAAAAACGGUUUUAUGUAUUUCAGCCAGCAGAAUGAUAACCACUUAAAUAUUUUCUCAAUUAUCCGGAAGGCAGCUGACUGGAGGUUCAUGGCGCUAUGAUUGGUUCAGAUUGGUUCCUGUUCCGAGAUGCUGCCGGAGGAAAGCUGCAGAAAGUGCAUUAAGCACCAUACAUUGAGCACUUUAGGCAUCGAGCCUCUUCAAAUACGCAAAAAGGUAAAAUGCAUUCACAGUAGGUGUUUUGUGAAAAUAAUCGACCGAAACCACUCAUCCAAAAUCUAUUGGGUCCAGGACUACGUCGAGAUGGCGUUCAAUCUCAUCGAGUACGUCGGCAAAAUGGAAAUAGUUGGGCUGUUGUAUGCCUUGAAAGCAGAGUUUAUUUUAUCGGGCCAGUUGAGGGAGAUAUUCCUAAAUUUUAAAAAUCAACUGAUGUUUAUUUUUUUUACGAUG